GUGGGGAAUAUUGGGCAAUGGGGGAAACCCUGACCCAGCAACGCCGCGUGAAGGAAGAAGGCUUUCGGGUUGUAAACUUCUUUUACCAGGGAAAAACACAAUGAUGGUACCUGGAGAAAAAGCUACGGCUAACUACGUGCCAGCAGCCGCGGUAAUACGUAGGUGGCAAGCGUUGUCCGGAAUUACUGGGUGUAAAGGGCGUGUAGGCGGAACUACAAGUCAGGGGUGAAAACUAUGGGCUUACCCAUAGCCUGCCUUUGAAACUGUAGUCCUUGAGUGCUGGAGAGGCAAUUGGAAUUCCUAGUGUAGCGGUGAAAUGCGUAGAUAUUAGGAGGAACACCAGUGGCGAAGGCGAAUUGCUGGACAGUAACUGACGCUGAGGCGCGAAAGCGUGGGGAGCAAACAGGAUUAGAAACCCUAGUAGUCC
rnacentral:rRNA from 1 species